rnacentral:rRNA from 1 species
GACGAACGCUGGCGGCGUGCCUAUACAUGCAAGUAGAACGCUGAAGGAGGAGCUUGCUCUUCUGGAUGAGUUGCGAACGGGUGAGUAACGCGUAGGUAACCUGCCUGGUAGCGGGGGAUAACUAUUGGAAACGAUAGCUAAUACCGCAUAAUAGUAGAUGUUGCAUGACAUUUGCUUAAAGGUGCAAUUGCAUCACUACCAGAUGGACCUGCGUUGUAUUAGCUAGUUGGUGGGGUAACGGCUCACCAAGGCGACGAUACAUAGCCGACCUGAGAGGGUGAUCGGCCACACUGGGACUGAGACACGGCCCAGACUCCUACGGGAGGCAGCAGUAGGGAAUCUUCGGCAAUGGACGAAAGUCUGACCGAGCAACGCCGCGUGAGUGAAGAAGGUUUUCGGAUCGUAAAGCUCUGUUGUAAGAGAAGAACGAGUGUGAGAGUGGAAAAGUUCACACUGUGGACCGGU